AAGCAAUCCCGCGAGGAGGAGCAAAUCCCUAAAAGCCAUCCCAGUUCGGAUCGCAGGCUGCAACCCGCCUGCGUGAAGUUGGAAUCGCUAGUAAUCGCGGAUCAGCAUGCCGCGGUGAAUACGUUCCCGGGCCUUGUACACACCGCCCGUCACACCAUGAGAGUCGGGAACACCCGAAGUCCGUAGCCUAACCGCAAGGGGGGCGCGGCCGAAGGUGGGUUCGAUAAUUGGGGUGAAGUCGUAACAAGGUAAC
rnacentral:rRNA from 1 species